rnacentral:rRNA from 1 species
AUGUUGCAGCACCUGGAUCUCCAGGAUGAUGAGUUGGAUGAUGUGAUUGUGGGGGAGGAGGAAACAAAGAAGUACGAAACAGAUGCGAGAUGGUUGGCGAUCGAGAAGGUAAACACGACCCGCCCCUUCAGCUCAUCGUCGAUGUUCGAAACCAUGAAGUCAAUCUGGGGAUUAGCACAAGUGUCGAAGUACAGGGAGGCUGGAGAAAAUCUUUAUAUCUUUCAGAUGUUUUGCCUGGGAGAUUAGAAGAAAGUUGUUCAUGGAGGACCAUGGCUGUUCAGGGGGAUGGGGAUGCUAAUUGAAGAUUAUGACAGCAAGCAAGAUCCGGCAUCCUUCAUCUUUGAUGGCAUGUAUGUCUGGGCGCAGAUCCACAAUAUACUAGAGCUUUACCGUAAAAUCGAGGUAGUCGAUCAGCUAGCACGUCGUAUCGGCCGGGUUAAGGAGACACAACUUUCACCUAGGCUCUUUUAUGAGGGUGACUAUGUAAGGGCCCGAGCUAGGGUUCUGGUGAAUAAACCCCUUACCAGGGUGACUCCGUUGAACGUUGUGGGCGAGGGCAGAAAAUUCCUCCCUGUCAAGUAUGAGAAGAUACCCUACUUCUGCCAAGUUUGCGGACUCAUGGGUCAUAAUCAUGAGGAAUGUGGAGAUGGAGUCUGGGAGGCAAAAGAUAAGCAAUGGGGAAGCUGGAUGUUGGCACAGAGAAGGGAGAUAACACAGGAGCAGCAAGGAGGAGGCCGAGCUUCUCGAGGUGGCCACUAUGGGGGACGAGGCAGAGAAAGAUCAGGCGGGGCGCUCCACCGCCUCGCCAAGCUUCACCAGUGCGUAAACGAUCAUCUCAAGAGGCGGGGCUAG